rnacentral:rRNA from 1 species
GCAGCAGGCGCGCAAAUUACCCAAUCCUGAUACAGGGAGGUAGUGACAAUAAAUAACAAUACAGAACUUUCGAGUUUUGUAAUUGGAAUGAGAACAAUUUAAAUCCCUUAACGAGGAACAAUUGGAGGGCAAGUCUGGUGCCAGCAGCCGCGGUAAUUCCAGCUCCAAUAGCGUAUAUUCAAGUUGUUGCAGUUAAAAAGCUCGUAGUUGAAUUUUGGCGCUGGUUGUGUGGUUUGGACUCGCGUUCAAUACUGCAGGACUGGCGCUUUCCUUCUAGGGAACUAGCGUGCCAUUAAUUUGGUGGGCUAGGGAUCUAGGACUGUUACUUUGAAAAAAUUAGAGUGUUUAAAACAGGCUUACGCUUGAAUACAUUAGCAUGGAAUAACGGAAUAGGACUUUGUCUUAUUUUGUUGGUUUAGGAGACAAAGUAAUGAUUAAUAGGGACGGUUAGGGGCAUUAGUAUUCCACAGUCAGAGGUGAAAUUCUUGGAUUUGUGGAAGACUAACUUCUGCGAAAGCAUUUGCCAGGCACGCUUUCAUUAAUCAGGAACGAAAGUUAGGGGAUCGAAGACGAUCAGAUACCGUCGUAGUCUUAACAGUAAACGAUGCCGAUUCAGGAUCCUAGGGUGUUAUAUUAUUGACCUCUAGGGCACUGUAUGAGAAAUCAAAAUUUUUGGGUUCCGGGGGGAGUAUGGUCGCAAGGCUGAAACUUAAAGGAAUUGACGGAAGGGCACCACCAGGAGUGGAGCCUGCGGCUUAAUUUGACUCAACACGGGGAAACUCACCAGGUCCAGACAUAAGUAGGAUUGACAGAUUGAUAGCUCUUUCUUGAUUUUAUGGGUGGUGGUGCAUGGCCGUUCUUAGUUGGUGGAGUGAUUUGUCUGGUUAAUUCCGUUAACGAACGAGACCUUAACCUGCUAAAUAGUUGUGCCAACUUUGGUUGGCAUCGACUUCUUAGAGG